rnacentral:rRNA from 1 species
GCACAAGCGGCGGAGCAUGCGGAUUAAUUCGAUGCAACGCGAAGAACCUUACCAAGGCUUGACAUACACCGGUAACGCCCAGAGAUGGGUGCCCCUUUGUGGUCGGUGUACAGGUGGUGCAUGGGUUGUCGUCAGCUCGUGUCGUGAGAUGUUGGGUUAAGUCCCGCAACGAGCGCAACCCUCGUCCUAUGUUGCCAGCGGGUCAUGCCGGGGACUCAUGGGAGACUGCCGGGGUCAACUCGGAGGAAGGUGGGGAUGACGUCAAAUCAUCAUGCCCCUUAUGUCUUGGGCUUCACGCAUGCUACAAUGGCCGGUACAAAGGGCUGCGAUACCGCGAGGUGGAGCGAAUCCCAGAAAGCCGGUCUCAGUUCGGAUUGGGGUCUGCAACUCGACCCCAUGAAGUCGGAGUCGCUAGUAAUCGCAGAUCAGCAACGCUGCGGUGAAUACGCUCCCGGGCCUU